CAGUAGCCGCGGUAAUACGAAGGGGGCUAGCGUUGCUCGGAAUCACUGGGCGUAAAGGGUGCGUAGGCGGGUCUUUAAGUCAGGGGUGAAAUCCUGGAGCUCAACUCCAGAACUGCCUUUGAUACUGAAGAUCUUGAGUUCGGGAGAGGUGAGUGGAACUGCGAGUGUGGAGGUGAAAUUCGUAGAUAUUCGCAAGAACACCAGUGGCGAAGGCGGCUCACUGGCCCGAUACUGACGCUGAGGCACGAAAGCGUGGGGAGCAAACAGGAUUAGAUACCCCCGUAGUCCCUGUCUCUUAUAC
rnacentral:rRNA from 1 species